rnacentral:rRNA from 1 species
AUUGAACGCUGGCGGCAUGCCUUACACAUGCAAGUCGAACGGUAACAGGUCUUCGGAUGCUGACGAGUGGCGAACGGGUGAGUAAUACAUCGGAACGUGCCUAGUAGUGGGGGAUAACUACUCGAAAGAGUGGCUAAUACCGCAUGAGAUCUACGGAUGAAAGCAGGGGAUCGCAAGACCUUGUGCUACUAGAGCGGCCGAUGGCAGAUUAGGUAGUUGGUGGGAUAAAAGCUUACCAAGCCGACGAUCUGUAGCUGGUCUGAGAGGACGAUCAGCUACACUGGGACUGAGACACGGCCCAGACUCCUACGGGAGGCAGCAGUGGGGAAUUUUGGACAAUGGGCGCAAGCCUGAUCCAGCAAUGCCGCGUGCAGGAUGAAGGCCUUCGGGUUGUAAACUGCUUUUGCACGGAACGAAAAGCCCCGGGUUAAUACCCUGGGGUCAUGACGGUACCGUAAGAAUAAGCACCGGCUAACUACGUGCCAGCCGCCGCCGUAA